rnacentral:misc_RNA from 1 species
GAAAUGCGAUAAGUAAUGUGAAUUGCAGAAUUCCGUGAAUCAUCGAAACUUUGAACGCACAUUGCGCCCUCUGGCAUUCCGGGGGGCAUGCCUGUCCGAGCGUCAUUACGCACCCUCAAGCCCGGCUUGUGUGAUGGGCCCCGGCGUCUCGUUCGCGAGACGGGCCCGAAAGGCAGCGGCGGCGUCGACCCGAUGAGCCCGAGCGUAUGGGGACUUCUGUCACACGUUCGCGGUGCGGACCGGCGCCUGCUUGACUUUUCUGAUUAUCCAGGUUGACCUCGGAUCAGGUAGGGAUACCCGCUGAACUUAAGC